CGCAGCAAUUCUGAGCCAAAUUAUUGGCUUCAAAUGGUCCGAGGAAGCCAGUGCUUUGUUAAUGGAUUGAGAGUAAAGAACUCUGAAAUGAAGACUCUUUUUCUGUGUGUAUUUGUCUUGUUUUGUUUUUUCCCUCGAGGUUAAGUUUGUGUGUGAUUUUGAACCAGGGAGCAGGACUAGUGCAUAAAAGACAGCAGCCCACGCGUUCACUGGGUCUUGGAAAGAGCAGGGGCGCUCUACCGGACUUUGCUCCCAGGAUGUUCCCCUGCCUGCUGCAGAAGGGGUAAGGAGACAACAGAAGCAAAGAGGGAGAACAACGCGCAAAACUAAAUCAGCUGGAUUGAAAAUUCACGCAGCUUUGAGGAUUCAGAACAGUGAGAGGAUACUAAUACCGACUUCACUGCGAGAAGAAUCUGGGCUUGCAAGAUACAGAGAAACCCACUGGGGACAUAGCUUGAGAACAGGAAUCACGAUUUAAUGCAGAACCAAAAGAGGCCUUUAAAGGAAAGAAAGUAAGCCUCCAAGAAGGAAAGAGCUGCCUGAAAGACAUUAGCAGUGAGUACCUGGGACUUUCGUGUCACCAAGCGGAACUGGUGUGCUCUGGAAAAGAAGUGGGUAAUCUCAAGAAUAUACUCGUCUGGUGAGUGCAAGCCAGGGCACGGGUGUAUCAGCCUUCAUUGUGUGGGGCUGAAUUGAAGGAGCAAGGCAGAAGGUGUGGUCAGCCAGGGACCACCACCACCAGAGAGGCAUCAUGGGAUGUCCCCAAAGUAACAACCAUUUACCUCUGACAAAGUGAAUAUGGACAGAACUCUCAGAAACACUGAAGCAGACAUUCAGAUGUUAACAGGAAACAGACUUUGAUCUUACAAAUCUUUUGAAGCCCACAUUGAAUACUACAGAUGAAGCUUCCUGUCAGAUGCCAAGCUGAAGCCAAUGCCUUGACUCUACAUGCCUCAGCUUCCAGAACUAUGAAAAGGAACCUUCAAAAAGCUGUGACUGUGGUGAUUUGUUACAGAAACACAAAAGGACAACAAGAAUAUUCAAUGUGCUGAAAAAAAAUUAGAGACAAAUAUAGCAUUUUCUCCACUGAGAAAGCACUUGUGAAAUUUCAGGUCAAGAAAUGGCUUUCAUGAGCAGAAAACACAAAGGAGAACUAGCAUAUCAUAUAUGUAAAUGUGUAUGCAAUGCACAUAUGUAAAUGACAUAUGAAGUUUGGAUUCUUUUGUUUGUUUGUUUGUUUUUGUUUUUUCGAGACAGGGUUUCUCUGUGUAGCUUUGUGCCUUUUCUGGAACUCACUUUGUAGACCAGGCUGGCCUUGAACCCACAGAGAUCUGCCUGCCUUUGCCUCCUGAGUGCUGGGAUUAAGGGCGUGUGCCACCACUGCCUGGCAAAGUUUGGAUUCUUUUGAACUCUGAGUUUAUAGCCUCAUGCUAAAGAAUGCUUUUGCAUGUCCACUGACCUUUUCAAAGCCAUUUUCCCCCAGACUUAUAUAACUGUUCAUGUCCUUGCUUACUAUCACGUAUAGAAUGUUCUCAGUGAAAACUCAAUAGAGAGAAAAGGAAAUAGAGAUGUGAUUUGCCUCUGUUUAUCCUUCAAUCCUAAGAGAUAAUUAUUUGUUUAAAUAACAAAUUCAGCCUUGAUAUUAAAAGGCAUUAAUAACUAUUAGUUAUUAAAAUAUAUUUAGCUUCCCAAACACAUUUGAGUUCAGAAGUCUCAUUAAGAAGCCAAGCUCAGAAGUGGGCAGGCCUUCCUUGGGGGGCUGAUGAGAGGUGUGGGGAGAGGAUGGGAGGAGAGAAGGGAGGGGAAACGGUGGUCAGGAUAUGAAAUAAAAUUAAUUUAAUUAAUAAAAAAGAAGCCAAGCUCAACUAACACUGUUUUUUGAUAAUGCAAUCAAAUCUUAUAUAUUUUCUAAUAAUUUCAUUAAUAAGUAUAAAUAAAGGUUUAGAAAAAUACAACACCUCUGUUCUACCUGACUACAAGAAACAAUAUAUCAAAAUAACUAAUGUAAUAUGUAUAUAAUAUGUCCAUAUUUUAUAAAGUAUCACCAAUAUAUUUGUUUUAAAGUAAAAUGUAUUUUAAGUUUAUGGUAUUUGUCCUUUUAUUUGUAUCCCUUAUGAGUAUCUACUUAUGAGUAGCUCCCAUCUCAUAAGUCCUUUUAAUUCUUUCACUUAUCUAAAAACUGCUGACUAUGACUGCAUGUUGUGAAAGGUCAUCCAAGUCUGUUUAGUCCAAAUACUAAUCAUAAUAAUAGAGAGUCACUAAGGAUGAGAUUGGAGCUCAGAAUAUGUUUUUGGAGAAGAUAUUUUUUAAGUAGAACUACAUGAAUAGGAGAUCCUACAUUGCAUAGUUCUAGGAAUGGUGGGAAUUACUAUGGAAAAAGCAAUUUCAUGUGUAAAGAGAAGACUGAGAGGAAAGGCCAUUUUGAUCUGGCAAGGCACUAAAUUGAAUUGUAGCCUAAGAAAAGGACCAUAUGGAAAAAGCAAAGACAAUAUGAUAGUAUGUGCCUCUUAGUGGUAUUGCUAGAUUGCUAGACAUUGUGGGCGAUUUGAGUGUUGGUGACAGUAAGUGAAGAUGCCAGGCUGCACCAGUCCAGACCAGCAAUGACAGUGUGCUGGGAAAGCCCUCGUCCAGUGGAGAGAGAGAGAGAGAGAGAGAGAGAGAGAGAGAGAGAGAGAGAGAGAGAGAGAGAGAGAAUGUGCACACCGGUGAAAGAGUGAAUCUGAAUUUGUUUGGAAACUACAUUGGAAAGGAUUUUAAGAAAUGAAUGGGUGAUGAGGAAUUACAACUUUUCAUUUUCAACUUCUCACUUCUUGUCUAGAAAAAUAUAGCACUUGUUCACCAUUUUGUUUAUAUAGUAAGAUUAUUCAUCAAAACCGGAAACCUUAAACUUAAGAUUCUUUGAUCAUCCAUAAUAUAUACAAAUCUUCUUGGCCUAACAAAGAUAGAAUAAAUUAUUGAAAAUUAA